UAUAUUUUCUUAUAUUAUUAUUUUGUGUCAAUAGUAACAUGUUUCUUUUGCUGAAAUUUUGAACACAAUCUGGCGUGUAUGUUAAAAAAAUAGUCUGUAGUUCGGCUUGGACUCAUCUUUAACAAUAGUAUGCUGUUUGCUGCCUAUAAUCAGCUGAAGAAUGCUAAUGGUUCGGGAUAUUUAUUGAGACAACACACAAGAGUUUGCUUGUAAUUUGAUGCUUGGUCUAUUGUUUAUCUUAUCAGCACAAACAUAUCUAAAAGAAUGAAAAGAAAAUAGGAAAAACUCUUAAAAUAUUUACGCUCCUAGUGGAAAACAAAAUAAAUUCAAGUUGGUCUCCUCGGUUCGUCUCGUCUCGUCCCGUCUCGCCUCGUCUAGUCUUGAUGGCGAUAAUCCGGGCACUUAGCUCCGAGAAUGAAUACGAGUCUCGGUGUCAACAGCGAAUUACAAGAUUGCACACGAGAGAUAAAAACUGAUUUGUCCUGACUAAGUGAUUGAUGAUUAACGCUCAGCCCGAACCGUAAUUGCUGGGAAGCUGAAAUGAGGUACUCUCUAAGAUGAGCUUUAGGGAUAUUCCGCCCGAAAGUGUGGAAAAAACGCGAAAACGUCUAUAUGAAAUUAUUUUUGUCUGCCAUCUGAACAGCUUGGCUUUAAACUAAUUUUCUAAGCCCUAGGCGAUUUUGAAAAUUCUACCCAAAACUGUGAAAAUGCUCAGGAAAAAUUACAACUUUUCGGUUUUAACUCAUUUUCGAAGAUCUUUGCGAAAGUAAAUUUGCGAUUUGGUAUAUAUAAACAUUGAAGUGCUA